ACGUUUUACUAAUCAUUCACGCUGUCGACACGCCAAAACUAAAAACAGCGUCCAGCUCUGAGUGGCUCAGCACCCGACUCAUUUGGAAGAUUCAGGAAAGUGGUUAUGGAAGUGGCCACCCUAGUAAAGGAGGAUCUGCAAACUGUUGCAACAAAGUUGGAUGGAUGCUGCUCACUGCUGCCCUCCAGUGGUGCGUGUUCAGCACUGCUGCCUGCUGUGCAUCUAUUAGUAUUAAUCGCUUACCUCUUCUGAGAAGCUUCUCAGAAGACUUUGAGGAGCAGCCGGGGCCCCUGGACUCAGUGCUGAAGGGCCCGAGUGAGCUCAGAUCUUACCUGCAUGUAGAGACUCGGAUGAUUUUCCACCGUCUGCUCCUCGUUGGGACCUGAUGUUCCUCUGCGGGUGUCAGACACAGAACAGGAAGAGCGGCGCUCACUCACCUGUUCAUCUACCUGAGUGACGUCACAGCAUCACCUGCCAGCAGCACCAGGCUGCACCAGCAUGCUGCACCAGCACGCCUCCUCCUCCUCCUCCUCCGGAAUGUGGACACAAACCAGUCUGAUUAGUUCAUAAACACCUUCAGAACCUGA